UCCUGGAUGGUCUUAGUGGUUAGGAUGCAGCAUUUUCACUGCUGCAGCUGGGGUUCAAUCCCUGGUCUGGGAA
rnacentral:tRNA from 1 species